AUUGAACGCUGGCGGCAGGCCUAACACAUGCAAGUCGAGCGAGGACUUCGGUCCUAGCGGCGGACGGGUGAGUAACGCGUGGGAACGUGCCCCUUGGUACGGAAUAGCCCCGGGAAACUGGGAGUAAUACCGUAUGAGCUCUACGGAGGAAAGAUUUAUCGCCAAGGGAUCGGCCCGCGUUGGAUUAGGUAGUUGGUGGGGUAAUGGCCUACCAAGCCGACGAUCCAUAGCUGGUUUGAGAGGAUGAUCAGCCACACUGGGACUGAGACACGGCCCAGACUCCUACGGGAGGCAGCAGUGGGGAAUCUUAGACAAUGGGCGCAAGCCUGAUCUAGCCAUGCCGCGUGAGCGAUGAAGGCCUUAGGGUUGUAAAGCUCUUUCAGCGAGGAAGAUAAUGACUGUACUCGCAGAAGAAGCCCCGGCUAACUCCGUGCCAGCCGCCGCCGUAA
rnacentral:rRNA from 1 species